UUGAAUAUUGAUUAAAUUAGCUUAGUCAUUAUAGUUUAUGGGAUUACCUUAGUCUCUCACUUUCUUUCUCAAUCUUAUAACCUGUUCACAUCCCAAUUGUUAAUGGACAAACCUCUGAAGGAGAUUCCUAAAUGGCAUUGCAUAAUGCUAUUGUUAUUUGGAAAUUAGCUAGUGUAGCUUCAUGCACAUACAUGCCUAUUAUAUCUUGAAUUUGUUGCUGCUCUGGGUUUUCAUGAAAUUUUCAACAUCGUUGUCUGUAGUGAGGAAUUCAUUUCUGGAUUUGGGUCUCACACUCCCCUCAUUCUUUUCCGGCUUCCAUAUCACUGUGCCCAUAACAUAUUUGUUUGUGUACUUUAUUGGAUUUGUGAAGAUAUAACAAGAAAGAGAUUUAGAGAACUAAAGAACAAAAGGAACAUUCACGAGAAAGAUCCAGAGACAAAAGCUGAAGAUGCGGCUAAGGGUGAGAA